rnacentral:rRNA from 1 species
UACGUAGGCAGCAAGCGUUGUUCGGAGUUACUGGGCGUAAAGGGUGUGUAGGCGGUUCUUUAAGUUUGGUGUGAAAUCUCCCGGCUCAACCGGGAGGGUGCGCCGAAUACUGAGGGACUAGAGUGUGGGAGAGGAAAGUGGAAUUCCUGGUGUAGCGGUGAAAUGCGUAGAUAUCAGGAGGAACACCGGUGGUGUAGACGGCUUUCUGGACCAUAACUGACGCUGAGACACGAAAGCGUGGGGAGCGAACAGG